UACGAAGGGGCUAGCGUUGCUCGGAAUCACUGGGCGUAAAGCGCACGUAGGCGGAUUGCUAAGUCAGGGGUGAAAUCCUGGAGCUCAACUCCAGAACUGCCUUUGAUACUGGCGACCUUGAGUCCGGGAGAGGUGAGUGGAACUGCGAGUGUAGAGGUGAAAUUCGUAGAUAUUCGCAAGAACACCAGUGGCGAAGGCGGCUCACUGGCCCGGUACUGACGCUGAGGCACGGAAAGCGAUGGGG
rnacentral:rRNA from 1 species